rnacentral:lncRNA from 1 species
GCAAACAGAAGAAUGACUUUCAGCUUUUAUUGGAAAGUUGCACACAAGACUGAUCGCCAUUGAACACACUGUACACAACAUUGAAUAAUGGCAUUCACACUUUCGAAUUUGUCAUGUCUAAUGCUUUUUCUCAGGUAAUAAAAGGACCAUAAAGCUCUGAUGUAUGAGCUGCUCGGACACUGAGAUAUUUUAAGAUUAUUCAACAAGGAAACAGCAGUGAACUAGGCUCCAACACCUUGUGAAGUUUAAUGAAUCUAUUCAACUAGUGUCAGCCACAUCAAUAAAUAAUUUAAUAAGAAACCAUCAUCUAUGAAGGAGAAUGCAGUUCAAACAAUGAUAGAGGAACUGACCAGACCAAGAUCAACAUUAUGAGCCUGCAUGGGUUGAGUGGCUUUUCUCUGCCAUACCCUUCCUCCAUGCCCUUUCUGCUUGGAGCCAGUCAAUUAUGAACUGAACCCACCAAAAAUUGUGAAACAAAUAAGCCUCUCCUGCUUUGAGUUAAGGCUCUUGGAUAUUUUGUCCCAGGGAUAGGAUAGUGACUAAUACCAGAAGUUGGUACCAGGAGUGUGUGUGUGGAUGGUUGUGCUGUGACUAUACUUGAC